UACGAAGGGGGCUAGCGUUGCUCGGAUUGACUGGGCGUAAAGGGCGCGUAGGCGGCGGACACAGUCAGACGUGAAAUUCCUGGGCUCAACCUGGGGGCUGCGUUUGAUACAUGUCUGCUUGAGUUCGGAAGAGGGUCGUGGAAUUCCCAGUGUAGAGGUGAAAUUCGUAGAUAUUGGGAAGAACACCGGUGGCGGAGGCGGCUCACUGGCUCAGUUACUGACGCUCAGGCGCGAUAGCGUGGGGAUCAAACAGG
rnacentral:rRNA from 1 species